rnacentral:tRNA from 1 species
GUAAAGGAAGCGAUUAUUUGCUUUCGGUUUCGGCCCGUACCUAGGAGGACUAACCUUCCCUUUACU